rnacentral:rRNA from 1 species
CAGUCGCCGCGGGAAAACGUAGGGUGCGAGCGUUAAUCGGAAUUACUGGGCGUAAAGCGUGCGCAGGCGGUUUUGUAAGACAGGCGUGAAAUCCCCGGGCUCAACCUGGGAAUGGCGCUUGUGACUGCAAAGCUAGAGUGCGGCAGAGGGGGAUGGAAUUCCGCGUGUAGCAGUGAAAUGCGUUGGUAUCGGAAAGAACACCAACGGCGAAAGCACUCUGCUGGGCCGACACUGACACUGAGAGACGAAAGCUAGGGGAGCAAAUGGGAUUAGAUACCCCGGUAGUCCCUGUCUCUUAUUC